UACGGAGGGUGCAAGCGUUAUCCGGAAUCACUGGGUUUAAAGGGUGCGUAGGCGGCUUGGUAAGUCAGAGGUGAAAGCCCGCAGCUUAACUGCGGAACUGCCUUUGAUACUGCCGAGCUUGAAAGAGGUUGAGGUCAGCGGAACGUGACAUGUAGCGGUGAAAUGCAUAGAUAUGUCACAGAACACCAAUUGCGAAGGCAGCUGGCUGGGCCUACUUUGACGCUGAGGCACGAAAGCGUGGGGAGCGAACAGG
rnacentral:rRNA from 1 species